rnacentral:rRNA from 1 species
UACGGGGGGGGCAAGCGUUGUUCGGAAUUACUGGGCGUAAAGGGCGUGUAGGCGGCCACCUAAGUCCGACGUGAAAUCCCCAGGCUUAACCUGGGAACUGCGUCGGAUACUGGAUGGCUUGAAUUCGGGAGAGGGAUGCAGAAUUCCAGGUGUAGCGGUGAAAUGCGUAGAUAUCUGGAGGAAUACCGGUGGCGAAGGCGGCAUCCUGGACCGACAUUGACGCUGAAGCGCGAAAGCUAGGGGAGCAAACGGG